rnacentral:misc_RNA from 1 species
CUGAACUGUCGACAUGGGUUGUUGCUGGUCCUCGAAAGGGGAUACGUGCACGCUCUGUUUACACAUCCACUCACACCUGUGCACCCUUGUAGUUCUAUGGCCUGGGGGCUCAUCCUCCUGCUGUGGUCCUACGUCUUUACACACACACACUAUGACAAGGUAUCAUGGAAUGUACAUCGCGUUUAACGCAAUACAAUA